rnacentral:rRNA from 1 species
GUGCCAGCCGCCGCGGUAAUACGGAGGGGGCUAGCGUUGUUCGGAAUUACUGGGCGUAAAGCGCACGUAGGCGGAUCAGAAAGUUGGGGGUGAAAUCCCGGGGCUCAACCUCGGAACUGCCUUCAAAACUAUUGGUCUUGAGUUCGAGAGAGGUGAGUGGAAUUCCGUAGUGUAGAGGUGAAAUUCGUAGAUAUUCGGGGGAACACCAGUGGCGAAGCGGCUCACUGGCUCGAUACUGACGCUGAGUGCGAAAGC